AGUAGUUUGAUCAUGGCUCAGGACGAACGCUGGCGGCGUGCCUAACACAUGCAAGUCGAACGAGAAAUUCAUUUGUGAUCCCUUCGGGGUGAGCUGUUGAAUGGAAAGUGGCGGACGGGCGAGUAACGCGUGAGUAACCUGCCGAUAAGAGGGGGAUAAUCCUUGGAAACGAGGACUAAUACCGCAUAUUGUAACGAGAUCGCAUGAUAUUGUUAUGAAAGCUUUAGCGCUUAUUGAUGGACUCGCGUCAGAUUAGCUGGUUGGUGAGGUAACGGCUCACCAAGGCGACGAUCUGUAGCCGAACUGAGAGGUUGAUCGGCCGCAUUGGGACUGAGACACGGCCCAGACUCC
rnacentral:rRNA from 1 species